GGAGGAAGGGAAAAGAAUACAAGAAAAAAGGAAAAUGCAGCUUUUGCAAAUGGGAAGGAGAUCUAGAGUUGGGAGGAACAGGAAGGGAGAAGGGGAAGAGGGAAUAAAAAAAGAUUCAUUGAAGAAUUAUUAAAAGUAAUUUCAGAAAGAGAGAAAGAAAGAACUGGUCUCCAGAAUGAAUUAGAUUCUUUGAAGGAUGCUGUUGAACAUCAGAGGAAGAAAAACAAUGAAAGACAAUAUGUGGAAGCUGUUGAGUUGGAGGCUAAAGAAGUUCUUAAAAAAUUAUUUCCAAAGGUGUCUAUCCCUUCUAAUUAGAGUUACAGUGAAUGGUUGCAUGGAUUUGAAAAGAAAGCAAAAGAGUGUAUAGCUGGAACUUCAGGUUCAGAAGAAGUUAAGGUUUUAGAGUAUAAGUUGAAAGAAGCUGAUGAAACACACACACUAUUACAGCUGGAGUGUGAUAUGUAUAAAUCAGUUCUUGCAGAAACACUGAGAAGAGAGCAAGAGCAUUUGGAAAUGAAACUAGAGAAGGCAGAAAUUGAACGGUCUACUUAUGUUACAGAAGUGAGAGAGCUGAAAGAUCUGUUGACUGAAUUGCAGAAAAAACUUGAUGAUUCAUAUUCUGAAGCAGUAAGACAGAAUGAAGAGCUAAAUUUGUUGAAGACAUAGUUAAAUAAAACACUCAAGAAAAUUAAAACUGAACAAAGUGAAAGACAGAAGGUAGCUGGUGAUUUGGAUAAGGCACAACAGUUUCUGGAUCUUAUCCAGUCAAAAAUAGUACAAGCUUCUGGAGAUACUACUGUUAUUGAGAAUAGUGAUGUUUCCCCAGAAAUGGAGUCUUCAGAAAAGGAGACGAUGUCUGUAAGUCUAAAUCAGACUAUAGCACAGUUAUAGCAGUUGCUUCAGGCUGUAAACAGCUCACAAAGGAGAAAUAACACUACCAGGUUUGGAGUGAAGUAAUUGGGAAAUUUCAGUUGAGGACAGCAGAAGGCAUUGUAUUAUAUUUUGCCAAAUUAAAGCCUUAUUUAUGUUUUUACCCUUUCUACUUUGUCAGAAACACUGAACAGAGUUUUGUCUUUUCUAAUCCUUGUUAGACUACUGAUUUAAAGAGAAAAAUUUAAAAAGAAACCAACUCUGUAGACACCUUCAGAAUUUAGUUUUAUAAUAAAAACUGUUUGAAUAAUUAGACCUUUACAUUCCUGAAGAUAAACUUGUAAUAUUUUACCUUGAUCAAUUCAAUUGUUCAGAAGAUCAAAGUGGUAAAGACAAUGUAAAAUUUAACAUUUUAAUACUGAUGUUGUACACUGUUUUACUUAACACUUUGGGGGAGUAACUGCCUCUGACAUCAACUCAAGACACUUUUGUUGCUAAUGUAAUCAGUUUUUGUAAUGGCGGUCAGCAAAUAAAGGGAUGCUUAUUAUUCAAACUUGAAAAAAAAAGA
rnacentral:lncRNA from 1 species